GGAAGGGUGUUGAGGUUGCAAGUUGGGCCCAGAUUGUUCAGGGCUAUUUAGACCUUAGACUUUGGGUUUUCUUUUUGUUUUCAUGGUAAGGCCUUUAAGGGAUUAAGCAGGGAACAGACCUGAUAGGCUUCAUCUUCCUCCUGCUUAGUGGAGAAUAGGUGCUAGGGCUGGGCUGCCCCAAUGUACCUCCCCAGGGACCCUCAGUGGGCCCUUUAUGUAGACUGCACUGUGAAUGGUACCCUCUGGGGUUGGGCCCUGUCAGUAGCCUUUCCAAAGGCAGGAGUACCAGGGGAAGACAUUUCAGACAGUGGUUCUACAGAUGGGCUGCAUGUUAUACCCCUUGGGGGCAGUUUCUAAAGAAUAUCGAUGCCCAGCUGUACCUCCACCACUAGCCUACUUAAAAUCAGAACCUGUGGGAGUGGGGCCCAGGUGUCCAUGUGUAGCCAAGGUUGAGAACCUGCUUGGGAGGUUGUCAUGGCAGCCCAGGCAGGAGGUGAUGACCAUCUGGACUAGGACAGUGGCAGUGCAGAGUGGAAUUUGGGAUAUAUAUAUACACACACACACACAUAUAUAUAUUCUAUUUUUUAUUUAAAAUAUAGUUGAUUUGGAGUUUCUGUUGUGGCACAGUGGAAACGAAUCUGACAUAUCAAUGAGGAUUCUGGUUUGAUCCCUGGAUUCGCUCAGUGGGUUAAGGAUGUGGCAGUGGGUUAAGUGGGUUAAGGGUGUGGCAGUGGGUUAAGCUGUGGUGUAGGUCACAGACUAGACUUGGAUCUGACUUUGCUGUGGCUGUGGUGAAGGCUGGCAGCUGCAGCUCUGAUUUGACGCCUAGCCUGGGAACAUCCUUAUGCCAUGGGUGCAGUCCCCCUUAAAGGCAAAAAUCAAUCAAUCAAUCAAAUAUAGUUGAUUUACAAUGUUUUGCCAAUUUCUGAUGUACAGGAAAGUGACACAGUCAUACAUAUAUACACACACACUUAUAUUCCGUGGUUUUUUUUUUCCUGUCUUUUUAGGGCUGCACUCCCGGCAUAUGGAGCUUCCCAGGCUAGGGAGGCUAAAAUUGGAACUGUAGCUGCCAGCCUAUGCCACAUCCAGAGCAAUGCAGGAUCUGAGGCCCAGCUGUGACCUACACCACAGCUCACAGCAACGCUGAAACAUUAACCCACUGAGCAAGGCCAGGGAUUGAACCCAUGUCCUCAUGGAUACUAGUUGGGAUUGUUAACUGCUGAGCCAUGAUGGGAACUCCCACUUUCCCUUUCUUAUACUAUCUUCUAUUAUGGUCUAUCCCAAGAGACUGGAUAUAAUUCCCUGUGCUAUAUACAGCAGGACCUCCUUGUUUACGAGUUAUAUUUUUGUGGUAGAAUAGACACGCUUGGCUGAACGUGCGGAGGGGAGUGAAUGGGAAGAAACAAGGGUUACUCCCAGGUUUUCAGCUUGGGAAACUAUUAGAAAUAGUUCCCAAACUUCAGCUGGCUUCAGAAUCACAUGGAAGGCUUGUUAGAACACAGAUUGCUGGACCUCUCCUCCAGAGUUUCUGAUUCUAGAUGGGGUCUGAGAAUUUGCAUUAAGAAUAAGUUCCUGGGUGGUACUGUCCAUCCAGGGACCACAUUUUCACCCAAGAGGACAGCUUUUCAAAUGCCCCAUCAGGCCACAUGCCAAUGAAUUAAAUCCACAUUCCUGGGGGUGGGAUGCAGGCAUCAGUUUGGGAUCACUUGGGAACUUGUUUGAUCUGUUUAAGUCUGGCCAGUCCCCGCAAAAAUGGUUAAUUGGUCUGUGGUAGGACUUGGAAACUGAUAUCUUUGAAAAUCUCCUUUGGAAUUCUUCUAAUCACAUGUCACCAGUUCGGGGAGCCACAGCAUCAGGCGGGCGGUGAUGUCAAGUGCUGAGGUAGGUACAGGUGUUCUAACUCUCUACCAUGGUUUCAGAAGUCCCCCACCUCCAAGGAGCUCUCUUUCACGGCCCUAGACAUAUGAAGCUCUUAAAAUAUCUAGACCAAAAGAUUGAGCUCCCUCCUUUACCUUUUUUGCUUUAAAUACACAAUGACAUACAAGUCCUAGAGAACCAGCUGUUAACUCAGUCCCCGUCAGAAUACAAUAGUGUAUGCAAAUAACUGAAUCACUUUGUUGUACAGCAAAAAUGAUCACUACCUUGUAGAUCAACCAUGCUUCCAUAAAAUGUUAAAAAAUGAAAUCACAAAUAUAAUUGUUUGGUCCCAGCGGAUAAAUGAAGUAAGAGUAGUAUUUCAUGACAAUCACUUCAAUGUCAAUAGAAAAAAUGUCAAUUGAAUCAAUUGACUCCUGUUUGAGGAGUAUUGUGUAGAAUUUGGGGAGGACACCCAACACCUUCAAGAGAAUCAUUCAUGUCUUGUUUCAUAUUUGAAUAAACAUCAUUUGUGUCUUAAGCAAAAAGAAUACUGUAGAAAUUGUCACUAUUUAGGGAUAGCUGCUCCCAUUGCAUUCUUAGUGCAUAGCGCAGUGCCUGACCCAUAAUAAACAUUAAAUACAUACUUAUUGACCAAAUGAACUACCUUGCGAAAAAUGAAAACUUUCUGAAAACUGAAUAAAGCUCCGAAGCAGUAACCAACGAGUUCCAUCAAUCUCGAUGCUGGUUGUGAAACAGGAUUUUGAUGUGGGUCCACUUGCAAUAAGUUUACGUGACAUCAACAUUGAUCCAACAGCUUCUGGGCCAUGAUAAAACAGACAUGUUUGCAGAGCCCUGGAGGAUUUUCAGGGGCUCUCUUUGCAGGAGAAUACAUCCUUUGGGUCUCCAGCAUAAGAGGCCAGGGGCCACGUGCUCAGAUAUGGUUUCCACCAAGGCAUCUUGGGAUGCAGCCGAUGAAGUCACUACCACCAUCUGGGGUAUGUAAGAAAUGCCACUCCUGGGAGUUCCCGCUGUGGCUGAGUGGAAACGAAUCUGACUAGUAUCCAUAAGGACACAGGUUCAAUCCCUGGCCUCACUUAGCGGGUUAAGGAUUCAAUGUUGCUGUGGCUGAGUGGAAACAAAUCUGACUAGUAUCCAUAAGGACACAGGUUCAAUCCCUGGCCUCACUUAGCGGGUUAAGGAUUCAAUGUUGCUGUGGCUGUGGUAUAGGCUGGUGGCUAAAUCUCUAUAUGCUAUGUGUGCAGCCCUAAAACGCAAAUAAAUAAAUAAAUAAAUAAAUAAAUAAAUAUUAAGAAAAAAAUGCCACUCCUGGAGUUCCUGUUGUGGUUCAACAGGUUAAGAACUCAACAUAGUGUCCGUGAGGACGUGGGUUAGAUCCCUGCCCUUACUCAUUGGAUUAAGGAUCUGGUGUAGGUCACAGAUGUGACUUGGAUACAAUGUUGCUAUGGCUGUGCUAGGCC
rnacentral:lncRNA from 1 species